rnacentral:rRNA from 1 species
UGGGGAAUAUUGCACAAUGGGCGCAAGCCUGAUGCAGCGAUGCCGCGUGAGGGAAGAAGGUUUUCGGAUUGUAAACCUCUGUCAUCAGGGACGAAAAAGGACGGUACCUGAGAAGGAAGCUCCGGCUAACUACGUGCCAGCAGCCGCGGUAAUACGUAGGGAGCAAGCGUUAUCCGGAUUUACUGGGUGUAAAGGGAGCGCAGGCGGUGCGGCAAGUCUGAUGUGAAAGCCCGGGGCUCAACCCCGGUACUGCAUUGGAAACUGUCGUACUAGAGUGUCGGAGGGGUAAGUGGAAUUCCUAGUGUAGCGGUGAAAUGCGUAGAUAUUAGGAGGAACACCAGUGGCGAAGGCGGCUUACUGGACGAUAACUGACGCUGAGGCUCGAAAGCGUGGGGAGCAAACAGGAUUAGAUACCCUGGUAGU